rnacentral:rRNA from 1 species
UCAAUAAGCGGAGGAAAAGAAACUAACAAGGAUUCCCCUAGUAACGGCGAGUGAAGCGGGAAGAGCUCAAAUUUGUAAUCUGGCGGUCUAAGGCCGUCCGAGUUGUAGUCUGGAGAAGCGUUUUCCGUGCCGGACCGUGUACAAGUCCCUUGGAACAGGGCGUCAUAGAGGGUGAGAAUCCCGUCUUUGACACGGACUACCGGUGCUUUGUGAUGCGCUCUCGAAGAGUCGAGUUGUUUGGGAAUGCAGCUCAAAAUGGGUGGUAAAUUCCAUCUAAAGCUAAAUAUUGGCGAAAGACCGAUAGCGAACAAGUACCGUGAGGGAAAGAUGAAAAGCACUUUGGAAAGAGAGUUAAACAGUACGUGAAAUUGUUGAAAGGGAAACGCUUGAAGUCAGUCGUGUCUUCCGGGACUCAUCCGAGUUUACUCGGUGUACUUCCUGGUGUGACGGGCCAGCAUCGAUUUCGGCCGUCGGAGAAAGGCUUUGGGAAUGUGGCACCUUCGGGUGUGUUAUAGCCCAGAGUCGUAUGCGACGGUUGGGAUCGAGGAUCGCAGCACGCCCUUCGGGGCCGGGGUUCGCCCACGUAACGUG